rnacentral:lncRNA from 1 species
CAAAUCACAUUUGUAGUACUGUAAAAAAACUUAAUUUGGUAUAGGAAUUUUAAACUAAUAGCUACAUAUCCAUAUGAAUCAAUGAUUGGAGACAAUAUUAAUAUCCCUCCCCCUGAUGAUUAUCACAACAUAAUCAGUUGUAGUGGAACUAAGAAGGAACAACGAAAUAAUAGUAAAAAUGAAUUAUUAUAACAUUGUUCAUCCUAAUAAAAUCAAUACUACAACUUCUUUUACAGCUUAAUCUGACUUUACCACACGUAAACAUAAUUACUCCAAGCUCGAAAACUCCUGGGUUGAAUAUCAACAAUUAUCAUGGAAGACAUUUGUUAUCAGAAAUGAGUAGGCUACUGCAAUUUUAGCAUGUUAUAUGGAAUUUUAGGCAUACAAUGAGUAGGAAAAUUAAAAAAUAACACAGUAUAUUCAACUUAUCACUCAAAAAUAGAUUUCAAACAAUAAUCAAACAAACACAACUUGAGGGAUAUCAAAUAAAUUAGCAACAAUGAAAAUCAAAGCAAUUAACAACUUUGUGCUUCAAAUAAACCACAUUUCCAUUAUUUGAUCGAGAAUGGUACCUGGCUUACAACAUAAUAGACAAAAAGAAAAUAAAUCUCUGAAGUUGGGAAGGAGUAACAUGAAGAACAAACAUAGUAGCAGAAAACAACAUACAACAGCUUUAAACCUUACUCCCAAAACUCCAAAAUAGAACCAAUGGAACUAUGUUGAUGAAUUCUGAUUCCUACUUUCAGAAUAUUUUUUGUGAGAAGAAACAAGUGAGGGUGAGUGUUGAUUCUCUGAUAAUAUAGAAAAAAUAAAAGUGUAUGCAGAUUGAGAGUAAUGAAAAAUUCUCCGAAGAAAUGUCAAAAUCUGUGUGUGUGUUGUGUAGAGAGUCAAGGAAUAUAUAGGAGACUGUCAACCGUAAAAAUAGAACAAAAAUAUCUUUUUCAAUCGAUUUUUAUACAAAUGUCACUUUUUAGUUAUUCUUUCAUCCUUUUUAAACCUUAGUAUUUUUUGUAUUCACUCUUCAGCCCUAACACCUGGCCACCUUAUUUUCUUUCUUUGCAAAUUGGCCCCUCCUAGAAGCUUCCUAAAUAACUAAACAAGAUUCCCUACUUUUGGUAUACCCUUUAGCCCCUUCAAUUCCUGUAUUUACUAUUUAUUUCAGAUUUAAAACCUAAAAGCAGACUAAGACUUAGAUCCUAGUUAAAACGAGCAAAUGUUAAACAUAACUGAUUAAGAAAUUACUAAUUAAUUAAGACAGAACAUUGGCAUUUAAUUAAUUUCUAAGAAAACAAAAUGCGAUUUAAACUACCAAUUUUGCCUAAACAUCAUGAUUAAGGACUAACAAAAUCACUGAUAACCUACCUCUAAAUAAAUUUGAGUCUUGACCAAAUGAAUUUCAAAAUACAAAUACAACUUGCCAAUAUUAACAAUUUAAAUCAAUCAACCAAAUGAGUUCAAUCGAAGAAAUUAAUCCUAAGUAAAACCUAAACAAAGUGAUAGAUCCACGAAAAACAAAAAUUUCUAACCUAAUGCAAAUAUCUCAAAAGUGGGGAGAGGAUGAAAAAGAGAUUACCUAUUGAAGCUCUAUUAAUAUGGUAGAGAAAACCUUCCAGAAGAAUUGGCCGGCCAACAGCCAGCUAACUAAAACGUGACUUCCGAGAAAUGGGAUGAAACUCACAUCAGUGGACAUCUCUUGUAAAGAGCUUUCUGCUAAUGUGAGUCUCAACCAUAAAAGAGGACGGAUUGUUUGAGGUCAUGAAGACAGAUUGCAUGGCAGCUAGGGUUUGGUUUUGAGAUUUGAAAUUUGAGAGAUUAAGUGAGUUUUUAGCAAAAAUUAACAGUGGGAUAGUCAUGGGGAGAUGAUAGAGAGAUUGUAUGGUGGGAGUUUGGGUGGAUUUGGGGUUGUGCACUGGUAGGGGUGGUGGUAGGCAGCUAGGGUUUGAAAGGAUUUGACAAAAGAGGAAAUUAAGGGCUUCUAUAGGGUUAGGGGUAUUCGGACAGAUAUAAGGGAAGGGGGAGGUCAGUUCUGGACCGUAGGAUCAGAUUAGAUGAAUGGCCAUGAUCAUCUGUGACCAAAACGGCGUCAUGUGGAUUUGGAAGGGGUCUAGGCCAGGUAAUGGGAGUGGGUUGGACGGGUUUGAGGGAAUUUGGGCCGCCUGAAGCUGGUCUAAUUUCGGAAUCUUAAGAAAACAAGCCCCAUUGCUCUUCAUUUAACUUUAAAUGACCGAAUUGACAAUUAAACUAAUUUAAAUAAAAAAUUUAACUAUUUAAUUACCAACAUGCCAAAGAAAUUAGCUAAAUUAUUUUUGUAAUUUUCAUUUAUUAACCAUGCAAUUAAUAUGUGAUUAAAUCCUAAAAAUGCAAUAAAAUCUAAAAUACAACAAGUGAAAGAUUAAAAAAAUAUUUUUUGAUGAUUUUUUAGGAUUUUAAAAUAUCUCUAAAUAUGAAUACAACUAAAUGCAAAUAAUGUAAACACACAAAUAAAGAGGAAUUUCUAAAAAUUCUAAGAAUCAAAAGACACCAAAAAAAAAGAAUUAUUUAUUUUUUGGAUUUUUAAGAGUAAUUGGAAGAAAAAGUCAAAUGCCCAUAAAGGCAAAAUAAAGUUGAAAAAGGUUAAGUCCUACACGACCAAACGUCAUGGCAAAGUUUAGAGAAGACAAAGGUUCUCCGGGGCCAAAACUGCAAUCAGUAUCCAGGAAACAACCAGUUGCAGUCGAAAGUAUCAUCAAAGAAGCCGGGACAAGAUCAAGUGACUGAAGCAUUCAAGGCCACAAACCAACCACUGUUUUUAAACUGACAAAAUGUUCUUUGUUUGAAAAACAGGAAACAAGUGCAAUCCAAAGCAACCUUGCAAGAAGCAGGUGCAACCAAAAGAAGCGGCACAGAGACUAAAAUAACUCUACAGCAGAAACAACUCCAAAAAAGGAAGUCUUCUCCAAAUUCUUUUCAGUAUUUUACUCAUUCUCUUAAUGGAAAAAAGAAAGAAAAGAAAAGAAAGAAGUUUAAAAUCAUGUUAGUAUAGGGUCUCCAAUCCUUAGUUGCAUUUUCUAACAUAGGGUCUCCACUCCCUAGUUAAUUUUAUUUUUAGCUAUAGGGUCUCCACUCCCUAGUCUUCUUUUCUAACAUAUGGUCCCCACUCCUUAGUUGAUGUUAUUUUAGAUAUAGGGUAUCCACUCCCUAGUCUUCUUUUCGAUCAUAGAGUUUCCACUUCCUAAUUGACGUUAUUUUAGACAUAGGGUCUCCACUUCCUAGUCUUCUGUUCCAACAUAGGGACUUCACUCCCUAGUUGAUUUUAUUUUUUGACAUAGGGUCUCCACUCCCAAAUUGAUGUUAUUUUAGACAUAGGUUCUCCACUCCCUAGUCUCCCUUUCCAACAUAGGGUCUCCACUCCCUCGUUGAUAUUAUUUUAGACAUAGGGUCUCUACUCCCUAGUCUCCUUUUCCAACAUAGGAUCUUCACUCCCUAGUUGAUGUUAUUUAAGACAUAGGGUCUCCAUUCCCUAGUCUUCUUUCCAAAAUAGGGUCUCCAUUCCCUAGUUGAUGUUAUUUUAGAUAUAUGGUCUCCACUCCCUAGUCUCCUUACCAGUGUAUGGUACACCAAUCCCUAGCUGUGUUUUCCAACUUAAGGUACAUGAAUCCCUAGUUGAGGCACCAUUUUGGCAAUCGGGGUACUACAUUUCCAAAUAAUCAUGUUUUCCCAAGGCACACCAAUCCCGACCUUUUAUUGCUUUCAAUAAUAAAGUUGUAUAGAGUUUUGUUACAAAUAACUCAAGAAAUUUUUCUAGUGAAAACUGGGGAAGAAAAUUUUUAUUCAUUUGUUUGUUUUGGGUCUGAGCAGGUUUUACUUCGAGGCAUGUGGUUUCAGACAACUAGAAGAAGAAGCCUCAAUCCAGAAUAAAUGAAAAGAACAAAAAGGAGUAAAUCCAAAAUGCAGAAGUAGAUUAAAAGAUGUGGACAACUCAAGACAUGACUGAAGUCGUGAACAUUGCAUUUCCAAUUUUGAUCAGAAAAAUCCUUAGAAGAAUGAACUAACACAUACAAUUAGCAAGCAUCAAGGUUCAGAUCAGAGUCUGCAUGAAGAACCGGUCAAGACUCAAGAUGAAGUUUCAGAAGACCUACAGAUAUGAAUCUUGUAACUCAUGGCUGAUAGCUUGUUUAGCUUCUCUCCAUUUCCGAUUUUUGUGUAAUAAGGAGUUCAGCAAGCAGCAACAGUAGCAACAACGGUGAAAUCACAACCUCUCGGUAUUCCCAGCUACCAAAAUUUCCAGAACUACACUGACCUGAUUUCUUUAUAGCCAAGGAUAUGUAGGCAACCUUCGGAGUAAGGUUCAGUCAAACCUUUUCAAAAUGCUUCCAAAUGAAGUAUCAAACAGGCAAAAAUUGUUCAUGAUUUCUCACUUUAUCUUUGUCUGAAAACUCUUCAUGUUCUCGAGCAAAGAGGGACAGCUGUGAGCACAGAUUGAUUGAAAACAAUUGAAAAGUACUUGGGUAAAAAGAAUUUGAAUUGAAUUACAACUUUGGAACCUUCAGGCGAAACCAUCGUCGAACCAUUAUAACGUCUGAAAUAGUUUCAACUUUUGGGGGAAUAUGAAUUUUUGUUUUGGUGUGACUGAAGCCAGAGAGAGGCUGCCUACGUAUCCUUUGGGAAUCAAGUCGAACGUAGUUCAAGGAACUUUGUUUUGAUUUUCUUUUCUUUUGUUUCCUUUUCUUUUAAUUUUUUCAUUCAUUAUUUUUUUUUUUGAAUUUAAUAAUAACUUCCAAGUUCUAAAGAGGGUAAUCAAAGAAAGGGAACCGGCUCAACGGGUUUGCAAAGUUUGAUAGUGUUUGGAUAGCGAGAAAGAAAGCCUUCGUCAUCCCAAUCGGAUCUUAUUAAAGCUAUGCAAAAAUGGUUAAACGUAAUACCUUUUUACCGUAUCUACAGUGACAGCUAUCUCGGGGUCAUGAUUUCCUUUGAUCUCUCCCAAAUACAACGCUCCCUACAGCAACACUCUUCUUAUAAUGUACGGACCUUUCCAAAUUGGAACAAAUUUUCCUUUGGCUUCUUCGUGAUGUGGGAGAAUACGUCUCAGAACGAGUUGACCCACUUCAAAUUUUCUGGGCCGCACUUUCUUGUUGUAGGCACGGGCCAUUCUUUGUUGGUACAACUGCCCAUGGAAAACUGUGGCCAUCUAUUUUUCAUCAAUCGUAGUCAAUUAUUCCCACCGGGUUUUGACCCAUUCAUCAUCCUCGAUCUCGACUUCAACAAUGAUACGAAGAGAAGGAAUCUCAACUUCUGCAGGUAUCACGGCCUCAGUGCCAUAAACCAGUAAGUAGGGUGUGGCCCCAACUAAUGUGCGCACGAUUGUGCGAUAUACCAAUAGUGCAAAAGGCAACUUUUCAUGCCAUUUUCUAGAACCCUGCACCAUUUUCCUGAAGAUCUUCUUGAUGUUCUUGUUUGCGGCUUCAACGGGCCAUUAGCUUUGGGCCGAUAAGGAGUAGAAUUGCGAUGAUUAAUUUUAAAUCGUUCGUGUACUUCCCUCAUCAAGUGGCUGUUUUGAUUUGCAACAUUAUCUGUAAUUAUAGUUUUAGGAAUACCAUAACGACAAAUAAUGUUAGAAUGCAUGAAGUCCACCACUGUUUUCUUGGUGACGGCUUUGAAAGUGACCGCUUCGACCCACUUUGUGAAAUAAUCGAUGGCAACCAAGAUGAAUUAGUGCCUAUUUGAAUCUUUCAACUUAAUUUGCCCAAUAACAUCCAUGCCCCAGGCUACGAACGACCAAGGUGCUGACAUAGGAUGUAACCCUGAAGGCGGUGCAUGAAUUAGGUCACCGUGUAUCUGCCACUGAUGGCAUUUUAAAAUGAAACUAAAACAAUCUUUUUCCAUGGUCAUCUAGUAAUAACCUUCCCAGAGGAUUUUCUUUGCAAGGACAUACUCAUUCAUAUGAGGCCCAUGCAGUCUCGAACGCACUUCGUUAAUGAUCUUUUUAGCUUCUCGGGAAUCUACGCACCCCAAAAGGUUUAGAUCUGGAGUUCUUUUGUAUACGACCUCUCCACUCAAAAAGAAACUACUUGCAAGACUUCUGAUAGUUCUCUUAUGAUCCCCGCCAACCUGCUCGGGAUAUUCUUUUAUUUUCAAGAAUCUUUUGAUAUCGCGAUACCAUGGUUGGACAUCUGGCUCUAUUUCAAUUGCGUUAUUCCUUUCUCGAACCUGGAUUUCGACAUGAACACUACCUGUGUAUGGCAGCAUUGAGGCCAAAGUAGCUAGUGCAUUAGCUAACUUAUUGUGGAAUCGAAAAAUAUACUUGAACUCGAUGGACUUGAGCCGUUUGCUGAGAUCUUCCACAUGUUUCAUGAACGAGAUGAGUUUUCUGUCUCGAGUUUCCAACUUACCUUGGGCUUAACGAAUGAUAAAUCAAUAUCCCCCAUGAUUAAUAAUUCCUUUACAUCCAGAUCAAUAGCCAUAUUCAUGCCCAUAAUGAAGGCUUCAUAUUCGGCGAUGUUUUUUAUACAGAAAAAUCGGAGAUGGGCUGUGGCCAGAUAGUGACCUGUGGGAGAAAUCAGAAUUUCCCCAAUCGCCAUGCCUUUUGCAUUUACGGCCCCAUCGAAGAACAUUUUCUAGGAAUUGAUGUUCUCUAGGAUCAUUUUAACCAAGUUUACUUCCUCGUCCAGAAAGUAAGUGCUUAGGGGUUGGUAUUCAUCAUCGACCAGGUUCUCAGCUAGAUGAUCCGCCAGGGCUCUGGCUUUAAUAGUCGUACGAGUGACAUAGACAAUAUCAAACUUAGUGAGCAGGAUCUGCCAUUUUGCUAACUUUUCCGUGGGCAUCGGCUUCUGGAAUAUAUACUUCUAAAGAUCCAUCUUGGUUAUGAGUUCUGCCGUGUAGGCCAGCAAGUAAUGUCUGAGCUUCUAGGCAACUCAAGUUAGGGCACAACAAGUUCUUUCCAACAAAGUAUACUUGGCUUCAUAACUGGUGAACUUCUUUCUCAGAUAAUAUAUGGCUUGCUCUCUCUUCCCGAUUACAUCGUGUUGCCCCAAGACACAGCCAAAAAAAAUUUCUAGGACUGUUAGAUAUAAGAACAAAGGCCUUCCAGGCUCGGACGGAACCAACACUGGUAGAUUUGAUAGGUAUUCUUCGAUUUUAUCAAAAGCUUUUUGGCAUUCCUCUGUCCUUUUAAUUGCCGCAUCUUUCUUCAAUAGCUUUAAUAUGGGCUUAUAAGUGGUAGUAAGUUGGGCGAUGAACUUGCUGAUAUAAUUCAAUCUCCCUAACAGACUCAUAACCUCUUUCUUGCUUUUCGGAGGUGGCAAAUCUCGAAUAAACUUUAUCUUUGUCGGAUCUAAUUCAAUACCCAUUCGACUGACUAUAAACCCCAGGAGCUUCCUAGUCGGAACUCCAAAUGGACACUUAGCUGGGUUUAAUUUCAAAUCAUACCUGACAAAAACGCUUAAAGAAUUUCCUUAGAUCUCGUACAUGGCCUUCUUGCAUUCUGGAUUUAAUGAUUACAUCAUCCACAUAAACUUCAAUCUCCUAAUGCAUCAUGUCAUUGAAGAUGGUAGUCAUAACUCUUAUGUAGGUUGCCCCGGCUUUUUUCAGACCAAAUGGCAUGGCCCUGUAAUAGUAAGUGCCCCAGGGUGUGGUAAAAGAAGUCUUUUUUGCGUCUUCUUCAUCCAUCAGAACCUGAUGAUACUCAUCAUAACAUUCUACGAAAGACUGUAUCUCAUGUUUAGCACAGUUGUCAACAAGAAUGUGGAUGUUUGGUAGUGGAAAGUUGUCCUUGGGACUCGCCUUUUUCAAAUCACGGUAAUCAACAUACACUCGGGUUUUUCCAUUUUCUUCGGCACUGGAACCACAUAAGGGUGUUCAAAACCGAACCGAAACUGAAAAUCGAAGCUUAAUGGCUUAUUGGUAUUGGGUUAACGAUNNNNNNNNNNNNNNNNNNNNNNNNNNNNNNNNNNNNNNNNNNNNNNNNNNNNNNNNNNNNNNNNNNNNNNNNNNNNNNNNNNNNNNNNNNNNNNNNNNNNNNNNNNNNNNNNNNNNNNNNNNNNNNNNNNNNNNNNNNNNNNNNNNNNNNNNNNNNNNNNNNNNNNNNNNNNNNNNNNNNNNNNNNNNNNNNNNNNNNNNNNNNNNNNNNNNNNNNNNNNNNNNNNNNNNNNNNNNNNNNNNNNNNNNNNNNNNNNNNNNNNNNNNNNNNNNNNNNNNNNNNNNNNNNNNNNNNNNNNNNNNNNNNNNNNNNNNNNNNNNNNNNNNNNNNNNNNNNNNNNNNNNNNNNNNNNNNNNNNNNNNNNNNNNNNNNNNNNNNNNNNNNNNNNNNNNNNNNNNNNNNNNNNNNNNNNNNNNNNNNNNNNNNNNNNNNNNNNNNNNNNNNNNNNNNNNNNNNNNNNNNNNNNNNNNNNNNNNNNNNNNNNNNNNNNNNNNNNNNNNNNNNNNNNNNNNNNNNNNNNNNNNNNNNNNNNNNNNNNNNNNNNNNNNNNNNNNNNNNNNNNNNNNNNNNNNNNNNNNNNNNNNNNNNNNNNNNNNNNNNNNNNNNNNNNNNNNNNNNNNNNNNNNNNNNNNNNNNNNNNNNNNNNNNNNNNNNNNNNNNNNNNNNNNNNNNNNNNNNNNNNNNNNNNNNNNNNNNNNNNNNNNNNNNNNNNNNNNNNNNNNNNNNNNNNNNNNNNNNNNNNNNNNNNNNNNNNNNNNNNNNNNNNNNNNNNNNNNNNNNNNNNNNNNNNNNNNNNNNNNNNNNNNNNNNNNNNNNNNNNNNNNNNNNNNNNNNNNNNNNNNNNNNNNNNNNNNNNNNNNNNNNNNNNNNNNNNNNNNNNNNNNNNNNNCUCCACUGCUUUAUCAACUUUGCCUGGGUUUUAAGGCAUCCUAGAAUUCUAAGUGUGAUGAACAUUUGUUUUAACAACGGCCAAUUGAAAAUCUUUCACAUGGACUAAGAUCAAUGUGCAUAAACAUAAAUAAGAUUCUAGACAGAUAAUUUACCCAUCACAGUGUCUCUUUUGCUUCGUCCCUCUUAGUACAUCGACCACCUAUUUAAACAUAUAGAGACUAAAUUUUAUUUUAUUUUGAUUGAAUUAGGCUGAUAAACUGCCCGAUAAUAGUUAAACCAAUACCAAUUCGCCCGAUAUCUUAUCGGGUGGCUAGCGGAUUAAUACAUUUAAAAGCCGAUAACCGAUAAGCCAAACCGUUAAGAUUAAAUAAUCCGCCCGAUAAGUAGCCUUAGAACCACAUAAGGUAGCCUUGUGAUGUAUCGGACCACUCGGAUCACACCGGCUUUCAAUUGUUUCGUGACUUCUUCCACGAUCUUAUCACUAAUGUUGGUUUUGAACUUUCUUUGCUUCUGUUGGACGGAUAGAUAACCGGGAUAGGUAGUGUAAUGACCCGAUCAGUCGUUCCGAGAGUUUGAGCCCCGGUUUCCCCAUUUCUACUUCUUAUUGCCUUGUUCAGUUGUAUUAUAUUCUAUGGUAUCGGGUUAGCCGGUUCGAAUCCGAAAUGGUUUUGGUAAGGUUUGAGACACUUAGUCUCUAAAGUUAGCCUUUGAGUUGGAAAGUCAACCGGAAGUUGACUUGUGAGCAUUCGAUCUCGGAAUUUGGUUUUUAUGAUUUGGAUAGCUUCGGGAGGUGAUUUGGGACUUAGGAGCAUGAUCGGAAUGUGUUUUGGAGGUCCGGAGUAGAUUUAGGCUUGAAUUAGCGAAAUUGGAAUUUUGGUGCUUUCCGGUUGAUAUAAGAGAUUUUGAUAUAGGGGUCGGAAUGGAAUUCAAUAAAUUGGAGUAGGUCUGUUGUGUCAUUUGGGACGUGUGUGCAAAAUUUCAGAUCAUUCGGACAAGGUUUGAUAGACUUUUUUAUCAAGAGCAAAAUUUGAAAGUUUUUGGAAAUCUUAGGCUUGAAUCUGAUGUCAUUUUGUUGAUUCGAUGAUGUUUUAGGUGUUUUGAAGGUUGGUAUGGGUUUGGAUAGUGGCAUAUGACUUGUUCAUACUUUUGGUUGAGGUCCCAAGGGCCUUGGGGUGAUUUCGGAUGGUUGACUGGGGAUUUGGAGUUUGAGAUUUGUAGCUGAAGCUGCUGAGCCACUGGUAUAACCGCACCUGCGGCUUGGGGAUCGCAGCUGCGGGACCGUAGAAGCAGAAGGCUAGCUACAAAUGCGGAAGUUGGUGUAAAGGGCUGAAGCGCAGGUGCGGAUGGUUUGGUCGAACCUGCGAGACCGCAUGUGCGGAAGGUGAGGCGCAGGUGCGGACUUCUGGUUUUAAGUGAAAAUAGCAGAUGUUAUUCUUUGAACGCAGAUGCGGUACCGCAGGUGCGAUGUAUGGACCGCAGGUGCGAAAAGCUAUGUCAGAAUGUAUAAAAGGUUCCCUUCACGAAUUUUUGGUUAUUUCACUAUUUCUAAGACGGCUUUGGAGUUUUUUGGGAGAAUUUGAAGAGAUAAUUCAUGGGAACUUCAUUGAGGUAAGAUUUUUGAACAUUAAACUCAUUCUGAUGGUGUUAUUUCAAUGAUUAGGCUUGAAAUUUAAGGAAACUUUGUGGGUAAAUAUUGAAGAAACUAUGGCUUGAGAUUGGAGACCUUUGAUUAGGGAAUUGAGGGGUCAUUUGUUGUCGGAUUUUGGCAUUCUUGGUAUGUAUGGACUCGUGGGAGGAUAAGGAGUCUAUUGAUGUAAAUUUUAUCGGAUUUAGAGACGUGGGCCCGGGGGUCAGGUUUGGUCAAUUUCGAGAUUUGGGUUGUAAUUUGAUUAUUUUCACAUGGUCUUCGUCCCCUUAGCAUAUUUUGACGUCAUGAUUUUGAUUUUAGAUAUAUUUGACGCGAGUUGAGGUCAAGGCAAGAGGCAAGGGCAUUGCGGGCUAGAGUUUGGACCGGAUAGAGGUAAGUAAUGAUUGUAAUUAUUUGUCCUGAGGGUAUGAAACCCCGGAUUUCACAUCUUUAAGUCGUGUGUUUGAUUGAAAACUGUUUGAUAUCCUUGUGUUUUGGAAAUUAUUACCAUGUUAUGGGGCUGAAUGGUAUAUUUGGGCUUCGUGCCAACUAUUUUGGACCCUUAGGGGAUUUUUACUACUAUUCCUCACUGUUUUGACUUCAUAUUUAUACUCAGCCACACCAUAUUCUACUGUUUUCAUAAAUAAGCCAUAUUUACUCCAUUUUGAUAUUUUAAAUGAUAUUUUGGGCUGAGCAUCAUGUUUUACUAUUGCCCGAGUGGCACGAGAGAUUUCUGACUAAGUGAGGCUGAGGGCUUGUGUUGUGAGGAUAUUAUGGGAUCAGGUUGCGCGCCGCAGCAAUGUGGUAAUGAUUUAUGAUUAUGAGGCCGAGGGCCUGAUUUGUUACGCCAUGAGGUGGCUUGAUAUGAGGUCGAGAGCCUGUUUGAUUAUGCCAUGAGAUGGCUUAUUAUUGCGCUUGGGCCGUAAGGGGCCCCUCCCGGAGUCUGUACACCCCCAGUGAGCGCGGGUACCCAAUGUGAGUGAUAUGAUGCAGCUUGAGGGGCUAUUGUUGUUUCAUAUUGUUGCUAGAGAGGCUGUUCUUGAUCCGUGUUUGCCCGAGGGGUGGUUCUUGAUUCAUGUUAUGCCUGAGGGGCUGAUUACGAGUGAUUGUGAGGUAGUCUGAGGGGAUGAUUAUGUUCAUAUUAUGCCCGAGAGGCGGUUUAUGGUACAUGUUUUUCCUGAGGGGCUGUUUACAUUUUCUAUCAUGAUACUCACUAUUUUAUCACUCGUUUGAAACCAUUAAAAGUUGUUUUAAAAAGAUUUUUACUGAAACUGAGCUUGAUUUACGAGGUAAAUGAUUUGUGUACUGCUUUGGAAAUGAUCUACAUUUGUUGUAGUGUUAUGACGUGGUUUAUGUGUUUCUUACUGCUCAACUUUCAUUUGCUUUUAUUACUUACUGAGUUGGCAUACUCACAUUACUCCCUGCACCUUAUGUGCAGAUUUAGGCAUUUCUGAACCCGGUAGCGGGUGUUGAUUGCUUAGUGGCAGAGUCAGCGGAGUUAGUGAGGUAACUGCUCGACGUUCACAGCACUGCUUUUCUUCCUCUUGUCUUCCUUAGACUGUAUUUAGUACAUUUUCAGACUCUUUGUUUUAUUCAGACCUUAGUAGAUGCUCGUGACUUGUGACACCCUUAUGUCGAGCUUGUGUAUUAUUUUCGCACUGUUCAUUUAGACUUCCAUUAUGAGAUAUCUGAUUAAUUAAAGGCUUAAAAUGAUUGUUAUUGAUUAAAUGGUUAAUUCGGGAGUUGUGUCAGCUGGCCUGGUUUCCCGAUAGGCGCCAUCACGACCGGGUCGGUUUAGGGUCAUGACAGGUAGGCAGUUUAUGUAGCACCAAAUCAAUGCUCAGCCCUAGCAUAUCAUCAUAGGACCAUGCAAACACGUCUUUGAAUUCAAACAAAAGUUGGAUCAAGGCUCUCUUGUUCUUUCAUCAGCGUGAAUGCUUAUCAUGGUUUCUCGGAUCUCUUCCGAACUGCCCAAAUUAACUGGCUCGAUUUCAUUUAAGUUUGACUUAGGCAUAUUCUCAAAUUAUUCCAAUUCUCGAUUUAUUUCCCUAAGGGCCUCAUCUUCAUCAUAUUCCAUGUCUUGAUUCAUUAUUUUAAAGUGAGACAGCAUUUUAGGAUCUGAGCAUGAAGUCCGCAAGCAUGUCAUGUUAUUUAAGUCCACAUUAUUAGAACUUCAAAGAAAAAGAUAAGAAAAAUAACAAAAUCAGAACAAAGCAAAAGAGACAUCUAAGGAAGAUGAAAUGUUGAAUCCAUUUCAUUGAAUUUGAAAGAUAAGAGGGUUUACAUCUGAAGCAAAAGACAAUAAAGUAAAACAUUAGAGUUACACCCUGAAAUAACUCGUAACAUAGAAGAGAUGGCAAAACUGAACUAUCGGGAUUCCCGCCUGACAGGGAAUGGGGUAGCCUCCCAAUUCUGGAGAUUGAAAUCUGGUCCCAUAUACUGCACCUCGACAUUAUUCAUGCGUUUCUUUGGCUGGACCAUGUGGGACUCAUAUAGCAUUUGUUUUAAGGCUUCACAGAUAUCAUCGAUUUCCUCGGCCGUGAAGGCCUAUUUGUCUUCUUCCGCAUACUUUGGUUUGAAAAAUGAUUAGGCGAGAUGUGAAAUGGGCUGGGACAGGACCCACACUUUUUCUUUGCGUUCAUUAGCCCAUGUUUGUCGGCCUCUGUAGCUCGAAAACCCACACCGAAUCACUUCUCAUUGGUGAUUGAGGUAAUAGGCUCAGUGAUGCCCUGCAAAGAUACUCUGAGCCCCUUUCUGGGCUUGUACCCAUUUCUAAUCAUUUGGGUGGCGACCAUGACUGAAGCAUUAGACAGGCAAGGUUAAGGUAAUGAAGCCCCUUCUUCAAAUUGGUCAGCGACCACAAUUUCGAAAGCUUGGUACACAAUAUGAUCAUUACCUUCUCUAGCUUCAAGACACGGAACCGAAGGGUCCCGGUAGAUGGAUUGCUCAUCUUCUCCAUGGAAAACAAUCUCUUUAUUAUCAUAUUCAAACUUAACCAUUUGGUGAAGAGUGGAGGGAACAGCUCUGGCAGCAUGAAUCCGUGGUCUACCCAGGAUGAAAUUGUAUGAGGUUUUCAUGUCCAAAACAUGGAAGGUUACCUCAAAAUCUAUAGGUCCAAUAGUUAGAAUCAGAUCAAUUUCUCUUAUUGUGUCUCUCUUGACCCCAUCAAAAGCUCGUACGCAGACGUUGUUAGCUCGAAUUCUUUCUGUUGCAAUCUCUAUUCUCUAGACUGUUGAGAUAGGGCAAAUGUCUACCACGCAGCCACCAUCUAACAUCACUCUUUUCACAUAAUAGUCCUCACAUUUGACAGUUAGGUGAAGGGCUUUGUUGUGGGCAUCUCCCUCUCGGGACAAAUCAUCAUGGCUAAAGGAAAUCUUGUUGACCUCAAAAAAUCUUUCGGCCAUUCUUUCCAAUUGUUCGACAGAAGUAUCAACCGGGACAUAUGCUUCAUUCAGUAUUUUGAGGAGCACUUUCUGGUGUUCAUCCAAACUCAGCAGCAAAGAUAAGAGUGAGACCUUGGAAGGAGUCUUACGGAGUUGGUCAAAUAUUGAGUAUUCUGAAGUUUUCAUCUUUCUGAAUAAUUCUUCUUCCUCAUUGCUUACAGUUUUCUUGGAUUGCAUCCAUUUAUUCCUGUUCAGUUUGGACUUUUUCAGCUCUUCUAGGGUAUGAUACCUCCGAGACCGAUUCAUCUCGUUCAUUUCUCCCAUAACAUUUUUUUCCUUUUUAUGUAACCACUGUUCUGUUGUAGUUACAAGGAACUGAAAUAGGAUCUUUCAUAGGACUCUGUGUUACAAGGCUGAUAAACAUGGGCUCAGUCAGCCUUGAUGGAAUUAUCGGCCCCCACGCCACAUAGGUCCCCUUUGGUACAUAUAAUCUUAGAACAUUCAAUGUAGCCUUCCUUUCAUCGAAUUUCUUGGGAAUGUUGAGGAUAAGCUGUUCUUUUCUUGGGGCCUUAGGAACAUAUAGAUGGAGCUUGAAGUUUGGUUGUGAUUAGCCAAACCCCCUGAAUCAUUAUAGAUGGCUUGAGAGAUAGCUUUCAAGGCAGCUUGACUCAAUAUCCGGCCAAGUUUCAGACCUUUCUCUACCAUCUCCCCAAUCUUGAUGGUGUCAGCAAAUGGCUUACCCAUAGCGGACAUCAUAUUUUGGAAGUAAUCAGCCUUUUGGGCCUAUAGGAAGACUAUAACCAUUUCUGCUUCGUCCCUCAGAGGUUUUACUAUGGCGGCUUGCUCGCGCCAUUUGAUAGCAUACUCGGAGAAACUUUUCGCAGUUUUCUUCUUCAAAUUGGACAAGGAGUUUCUAUCAGGAGCGAUGUCCAUAUUAUACUAGAAUUGUCGAACAAAAUCUCGGGCCAAAUCAUCCCAUAUAUGUCAGUGGGUGAUUUCUUGAUCCAUGUACCACUCGCAGGAGAUUUUCGAUAAGCUUUCUAAGAAGUAGGCCAUCGGAAGCUCCUAUUUCCCACCAGCCCCUCUCAGUUGAUUGCACUAUCUCUUUAAAUGGGCGAUUGGAUCCCUGUGCCCGUCAUAUUUUUCAAACUUCAGCAUUUUGAAACCAGCAGGUAAAUAAACAUUGGGAAACAUGCACAAAUUCGAAUAGGAAACCCUUUUUUUUUUGCCGCUCAAGCCUUGCAUGUUUUUCAAGCUCUAUUCCAAGUUCUCAUCUUUUGAGCCAUUUUUUCCUGCUCGGGAUUUCUAAAUGUUCUUUCUUGCUCAAUUAGAGACUCAUACUGUGGUUGUUGGGCAUACGAGUCUAGAGUGACAUGAGUCACGUUAGGCUGAAAUUACGGACUUUUGAAGGUGAAUGUUAUUGGUUCAAAGCAUGGACUAGGCAUGGUUGGUUGUGCCAUGGUGAAGAUUGGUGAUGCGAAAAAUAGCGUUGAAGGUACCCCUGAAAACGAUGCAUGGGGGCGGACCUCAAAAGGCAUACCAGUAAAGUUGGAUGAUAUAUUAGGGUACCCAAAUGGGAUAAAUGGGUUGGUCAUAGGGAUGUUGGUGGUUCCACCCGUCCUUGGGAUCAGCUCAGGGAAUCAAGGGAUUGUACUUGGUGGUUCUCUACCAUUGGAACAGGCGUCCUCAUUUCCAACAUGCAGAGAUGUAGCCCAAGAUCGACAUUGCAGAGAUUGCUUUCUAAGGCUAUUGGAACCUUUCCUUUGGAUCUUGUAAAAUAGGGGUGAAAAGCCAGAUUACCGACAAAACCAACCACCUAACCAGAAUCUAGCUAAAAUGUACACACAACAACCUUGUUAGUUUUGAGACAUUUAACAAAUAGGGAACCGCACAUUGGGGAUGCAAUGCACUUGAACAGUCAAACGCUUCUAAAAUAUUUUUGCAACGGCUGCAUGUUUCAUCCCGGCUUUCACUAUCUCGUUUCCACCCUGUAAUCCUUUUCUUUCAUUUUCACGCUCUUUUUCUCUUUUGUUUUGUCAUUCCUGGUUUUCUCCUGUUGUUGUCACUCCUGGUUUUUCUUUCAAUUUUAUCACACUGUUCUUCCUUUUCUUUACUUAUUGUCCCUCAAUUUCCUCUCUUUUUUGUUGAUUAUCACUCAGAUUAAUUAUGGCUAUGAUUGCAUCCGAUAGGGAUUGCCUACGUAUCAAGACGUCGCAUGAAUCAGACAAUUACAUAGUUCAGGAGAAUAAAUGCAAAAAUAAAAGCAAAGAAAUUUUUGUGGUUUUCAAUAUUUCAUUAUAAAAUCUUUUUGGUUUUUCAUUACAAAAACUCAAAAAAAUUGAUAAUUGACUUAAAGAAAAACAUACAGACUCAAAAUAAAAUAGCAACAGACUCGACGCGAGGAAAAAGUAAAAUACAGACUCAAAGAUUGAACGAUCAAGAACACAGAUGAGACUCAAAUGUUAUUCCAGGGGCCCGAGUAGCUUCAGCUGGUCUCGGUGCAAGCCUGCUUGUAAGCUCUUCCUGAAGAAGCUCGAGGUCGGCCAUGACCUAGCGAGUGAAAGAUAGUACCGAAGUAAAGAACAUAGCUCAAGUCAUAUUUUCACACUCGUUGCAUUUCAUUGUUGUGUAGUCUUCUAUUUCCUUGAUUCUAAGCUUGAUAGCACCUUUCUCCUAGAGAAAUUGCCCAAUCUGUUGUUCCCGAACAUCCACUAUUUGCAUAGCCUCGUUGUUUUGGUUUUGCAAAAUCAACGUGCUUUCUUUCAAUCCGUUGAUCAAGGCAUAUCAAUGCUCCCUCUCUACCCUGAAGCUUUUCACUUGUUGACCUAUUUUGUUUUAAAAAAUGGCUAACUCUUUCCUUAAGAUCACGAUUUCUUUGUCAUAACUUUGCUUCACCUGGAAAGCUAGCCUUGUCUUUUCUUCAGCAUCUUUCCCCAGUUGGAUCAUCCUUGUGUGAGCUUUUGCCAAAUCUUUCUCGACCUUUGUCAGGUCGGCCGCAUAGUCAUGCACUUUUCAACUCAAGUUGCUCACGUUUUUUCAUCACUCUCACUCCUCACAGGAGUUUCAGCGGCUACUCUCAUCUCCCGAAGUUAUGCUCGGAGUGCCUCGUUCUCACGGGUCAGACUUUUCUUUUCACCUUCAGCCUCUUGCACAUGUAAGUCAUUCUUAAAUUUGAGGUUUCUCAGCUUUUCUUCUAAGGCACGAAUGGUUGCUUGGUAUCCCUUUUCCUUUUCUCCCCAGGCCAACUGUUCUCGGAUUUUAUCAUUAAAAGCCUGAACAUGAGGCCUUUUGGUAGGCUUCACGGGCUCGGGCUCGGGCUCAUCAUCAAUGCAAGACCUUUUCUCAAACCACAUAGCAUAACUUGGGUCUACCUCACCUCUUACAUGAUCUGGCACAUGGGUAUCAUCUUUCAAGUACCGGCAACCAUUCCAAAUUUGUUGGAUUAAAGUCUUGGGAAGUGGAGCUUCUAGGUGUAGUUCAAUGACUUGAACAUUCAAAUCUUCAUCCUGGGGCACCACUUGCUACCUUCCCAGUUGUCUUAGAACUCUCUGCAGCACAUACGAUUGGACACUUUUCAAAACCCAUAAGUAAUAGAUAACUUUUUAAAAGCCGACACGUGUAUCACUUCCCUUACCGGGAGCCAACCCAAAGUCCACUCAAUUUUACUUGUGUUCAAAUAUCUUAGGUGGGAUACCAAAGCUUCCACCCCUUCUGGAGAAUUGUAAUCUUUUACUUCUUCCUCGUAACUCUCGAUGAAGUUGUUCUUGUUUGGGCCAUAGCUCAUAAAUAUGGGGUGAUAAUGGAGAUGCUCAAUCAACCACAUUUGCAACAAAAUAUUGCACCUUCGAAGAACUUACUUUGCCCCGGAAUUACACAACGUCAAUGCCCGAUAAAUGUCUGACAGUAUAAUUGGAGCAAGCGCGUGAUUCUCUUUGGUAGUGAGGACUUGCGCAAUUCUGGCCAUGUGGAUAUCAAUUGUCCGCUCUUUAUUUGGGAAGACCAUAAUUCCCAAAAAUGCUACUAUGAAAGAAAAGCGACUGUAAAUUUGCCAUGUGUCCUUAUUUUGCUUGUUGUUUAGGCCCUUUUCAUGUAUUUCGAACCCAUUUGAGUGCCCAAACCUGGAAUACAGUAAUUAAAAGGAACAUCAUCCUUUGUGUACAUUGUUUUUCAUGAUUUGCUUACUGAUAUUCAGAAGAUCAAAGAAUCGAUGCACGGAGAGAGUCCUUGGGAAUAUAAGUUGUUGGUUUCCCAAAUCCCUACCGAAACCAAAAUAUCCAGCUAUUUCUUCUAAAGUGGGAGUAAGCUCAAAAUUUGAGAAGCAUAAGACAUUGUGAACGGGAUCCCAGAAGGUUACUAGGGCCUCAUUCAGAUCAUCUCGCGGUUUAACUUUCAUAAUAUCUGUAAGGGCUCCCAAAUGCUUCGUUACCCAAUCCUGACCAUCUUUCUCUAAGUCGUACCACCACAUCUGAAGUUGUAGUGGAGCAUGCUCUACAACCAUUAAUGGCGGGUUUUGGACAGUGCUCAUCUUGUACAUUUGGAUGGUUGGGGUUAGGGUUGACACUAGUUCUAAAGGACAAAUCAAUGGUAUCUUUUUGCAAAUCAACCUUUCAAUUUUCUAAGGCAAAACCAAAGGAAGGGCGUCUAUUUAUGCAAUAUUAGCCGCAAAGCAAAGAUGGCUAGUUUUGCAAUAAUGGACCCUUCACAUUUUGAAAGAAAGUAUGAGGCCGGGGAAGGGAACUUAUGACAAAAGUGAUGCCCAAUUGAUAGACAUGUCCAUUCUUACGAGAAUAGCCCUUCGACAAUUUCGGAGAUAUUCUAAGGCUAUUCCAAUAUAAACGGCUCAGGACGCAACCGAAGCUAGGUCAGCUUACUCAUUUGACCAAAACACUGCACACAUUUAUUAUUAUUUUUAUUUUUUUGCAAAAAUGAGGCCGAACCCUAUGGAGGUUGCCUACGUAUCUCACAUCCGGUGAGAAUCAGAACUGCGUAAUUCGGUCAGUUUUGACACAACAGGAAAGCACGCUUUUUGACUCAUUUUAAAAUGACUUUUCUAUUUAUUUUUUUCAAAAUUUUGGUAGUGUUUCAGGAUUUAUCAAAUACCAGAGUUUUUUAGAACCGGGUAAAUUUUCUUUCUCCUAUCUCAUUCUUGUUUUUUCUCCUUAUAUUCUUUCCCUAGCCGAUCAACAUGUAAGUCGAAACAAUUAAUGCACAAAUAACUCGUAGGAUGCAUCAGGACAGUCUUUUAUUUUGGGUACACCUGUCCUAGAUGAACCCAACCCCUGUGUUGAGUCCCCAAAGUCAAAUGCACGUGAUGCAAACAAAUGUUCGUCUUAGGGAUCCGGUAUUAGGCUAUGUUAUUCUAGGUUUAAAAUCCUGCAGGUGUAUUUUAGACAUGGCUUAGCCAAGCAGACAACUUGAACCGACGUGGGGGCAAUGUACCGGGAGCACGAAAGUUUGUCCGGCCUAGUUGCUGAUCCAGCCUCGUUCUAUUUGGUAUGACUUCUAGCAGAAAAGUGGGCCACGUGUACGUUUGCACCAUAGUUUAGAAGACUUAGAAGUUAGAAGGGAAGCGUAAGAAGACAGUUUAAUACAGUUCAAAUAAUAUCAAAGCGAUAAAUGAGCAGUAAUUAGCACAUUAGGCCCACAAAUACAAUAAUAUCAACAAUCAAUAAAUCCAAGUAUAGAUCACAUUAACAAGCUCGAAUUCUGAACUCUAAACCAGAGAUUCUGGGUUCGAUCCCCAGCAGUGUCGCCAGAGCUGUCAUACCUCCUUUUUCCGAAGAAUAUGGAGUUUUUCCAAUUAAGGUGACAUUAUUCAAAAUGGGAUUAUUUAUUUAAUUAGAGUCACCACUUGAAAUAUUUAUUAUGGUCCCAAAUCACCGGUUUAUUUUAAAAUCUCAAAUCGAGGAAAUUUACUCUAUUUUAAAGUCCACGAAACACAGAAGACCAGGUAAAGAAUUCUAUUUAUUCGGGAAAAGGUAUUAAGCAUUUUCGGAUUGCGUGGUUUUAGAAUGGUCCCUUUAAUCAUACCUGGCUUAAUUAAUUGCUAAUUACGUAUUUUAGAACCUAUGCGCAUUUUACCUUUUAUCGCUUUUAAUUAAGGCGCUAUGAAUUUAUCUUUGAAACGGAUCACAUGUGCGUAAAUCCGUUUUGUUUAUCGGGACAAAAUCAUGUCGCGCGUACAUGUACACAAUUAAAUAUCACUUUAUUAAUUAUUAAGAUUGUUUGGCCAAAGUCGUGUGAACGCAUACUUUGAUUUGUUUUGAGGAUUGUAGUUAUGUCACGCGAAUGUGUACAUAAUCACGAUAGAAGAUUUAGAACGCGCCUAAAGCUUCUUAUGCAUAUUCAAGACUUGUUUGUUCUAAACUAAAUUUGUAAUUGAUGUAGAAGUUCUAAUCGUACAAAGUUGGGAUGGAAGGGAUAUCGACACAACCCCCAAAAGUAGAUUUAUGCUAGUACUACAACUUCUGGUGUACGGGAAAAUUGUUUUGUUAAAAGGUUGGAUCUAAAAUCUUAUCUAAAUUUAUAAGAACCAUCUAAAAUUAUCAACUGCAAUUAAGUUGGGUACUGGAACACUUUCUAGAAAGAAAAUCCUCUUGCUUUGAUUUUUAUUGUUGAUAAGGUUGAAUAAUGGUGUUACGAGCCAUGUUAGAUUGAAAAUCCACAUUGGACCUUUAGCGGAUCAAGUAUGAAACGCAGAUGUGCUUGAGCUGAAGCCCAAAGCAUGAGAAAGCGGAUUGGCAAAUCUCACUGUGCCUAACACAUCUAAUUGGAAGUGGAAUGAAGAUAAUGCGCUUUACUCUCAUUUCUAAGAUAGCAUGACAACUUGUGUAUAAACUGCUAAAUGUGCUCAGAAGGACUGGGCCCAAUAGUGAGUGAGUCUAAAUGACUCCAAACCCAUGCACAUAUGGAAAGUUAACUUUACCCUAACCAUUUUGAGAUAAGAUUAUGGGCUUCCAAAUGAGCCCAGCACACACAAUUUCAGCAAAUUACAUUUGUAGCACUGUAAACAAAUAACUUAAUUUAAUAGAGGAAUUUUAAACUAAUAGCUACAUAUUCAUAUGAAUCAAUGAUUGGAGACAAUAUUAAUAUCCCUUUCCCGUGAUGAUUAUCAUAACAGAAUCAAGUAUAGUGGAACUAAGAAGGAACAACGAAACAGUAGUAAAAAUGAAUUAUUACAACACUGUUCAUUCUAAUAAAAUCAAUAUACAACUUCUUUUACAGCUCAAUCUGACUGUACUUAAUUACUCCAAACUCAAAAACUCCUAGGUGCAAUAUCAACAAUUAUCAUGAAAGGUAUUUUGUAUCAGAAAUGAGCAGAUUAUUGCAACUUCAGCAUGUUAUAUGGCAUUUUAGGCAUACAAUGAGGAGGAAAUUUAAGGAAUAACACAGUAUAUUCAACUUAUCACUCAAAACUAGAUUCCAAACAAUAAUCAAAUAAACACAACUUGAGGGGUAUCAAAUAAAUUAGCAAUGAUCAAAUAAACACAACUUACAGCAGAGUAGACAAAAAGAAAACAAAUCUCUGAAGUUGGGAAGGAGCAACAGCAAGAACAAACACAGCAGCAGAAAACAUCACACAAUAGCUUUAAACCUUACUCCCAAAAAAUCCAAAAAUAAAUCAGAACCAAUGGAACAGUGUUGAUAAAUUCUGAUUCCUACUUUUAGAAUGUUUUUUGUGAAAAGAAAUGAGUGAGGGUGAGUGUUGAUUCUCUGAAAAAUGCCAAAAUUCGUGUGUGUGUGUUAUGCAGAGAAUCAACGAAUAUAUAGGAGAAUGUCAACGGUAAAAAUGGAACAAAAAAUAUCUUUUUCAACCAAUUUUUGUAAAGUUAUCCCUUUUCAGUUAUUCUUUUUUCCUUUUUAAACCUUUGUAUUUUCUAUAUUCACUCCUCAGCCCUAACACCUGGCUACUUUGUUUUUUAUUUUUAUUUUUUUGCAAAUUAGCCCCUCCUAGAAGCUUCCUAGAUAACUAAACAAGAUUCCCUAUUUUUGGCAUACCCUUUAGCCCCCUCAAUUUCCUGUAUUUACUAUUUAUUUGAGAUUUAAAAUCUAAAAGCAGACUAACACUUAGAUCUUAGUUACAAUGGAUAGAUGUUAAACAUGACUUAUUAAGAAAUGACUAAUUAAUUAAGACAGAACAUUGACAUUUAAUUAAUUUGUAAGAAAACAAAAUGCGAUUUAAACUAUCAAUUUUGCCUAAACAUCAUGAUUAAGUAUUAAAAUAAAUCACUACUAACCUACCUCUAAACAAAUUUGAGUUUUGACCAAAUGAAAUUCAAAAAACAAAUAUAACUUGCCAAGAUUAACAGUUUAAAUCAAACAACCAAAUAAGUUCAGUCAAAGAAAUUAAUCCUAAGUAUAACCUAAACUAAGUGACAGAAUCAUAAAAAAUAAAAACUUUUAACCUAAUGCAAAUAUCUCAAAGGUGAGGAGCGGAUGAAAAGAGAUUACCUAUUGAAACUCUAUUGACAUGACAGAGAAAACCUCCGAGAAAAAUUGGCUGGCCAACAGCCAGCUGACCAAAACAUGACUUCUGAGAAACGGGAUGAAUCCCACAUCAGUGGAAAACUCGUGUCAAGAUCUUUCUACUGAUGUGAGUCUCAACUGCAAAAGAGGACGGAUUGGUCGAGGUUAUGAAGACAGAUUGCAUGGCGGCUAGGAUUUGGUUUUAAAUUUUGAAAUUUGAGAGAUUCAGUGAGUUUUUAGCAGAAAUUAAAAGCGGGAUAGUCAUGGGGAGAUUGUGGAGAUUGUAUGGUGAGAGUUCGGGUGGAUUUGGGGUUGCGCUGUCGGCAAGGGUGGCUUAUGGUGGUGGUAGGCGUUUAGGGUAUGAAAGUAUUUGAGAGAAGAUGAAAUGAAGGGCUUCUCUAGGGUUUGGGAGGGCAUUCAGACAGAUAUAAAGGAAGGAGGAGGUCAGUUUUGGACCGUAGGAUCAGAUUAGAUUAAUGCCCAUGAUCACUUGUGAC